rnacentral:rRNA from 1 species
UACGGAGGGUGCGAGCGUUGUCCGGAAUCACUGGGCGUAAAGGGCGCGUAGGCGGCCUGGGAAGUCGGCGGUGAAAGCCCGGGGCUCAACCCCGGGUCGGCCGUCGAGACUCCUCGGCUCGAGCACUGUAGAGGCAGAUGGAAUUCCGGGUGUAGCGGUGGAAUGCGUAGAGAUCGGGAAGAACAUCGGUGGCGAAAGCGCUCUACUGGACCGCAACUGACACUCAGGGACGAAAGCUAGGGGAGCGAAUGGG